GGAGAGGUGGCCGAGUGGUCGAAGGCGCACGCUUGGAAAGCGUGUGUGCGAGAAAUCGUACCGUGGGUUCGAAUCCCACUCUCUCCGCCA
rnacentral:tRNA from 1 species